rnacentral:lncRNA from 1 species
CUGAGCAAGAGCCCAGGGGACAGUGCAGAAACCCAGCUCUCCCUCCUAACACCCUUGGCAAGAGGCCCAGGCUCGGAGCUGGCCGCACAGGCUGAUUCGUGACUGAGAAGCUGCUUAGGGCGAUUUGUGGAAGGUAGAAAUGAAUGAGCGUGCAGAGAAGGAACUGGAAAAUGUGGUAGAAGAGGAACGCGCUCUCAAAGUUCUCUGCUCAUCCCGAAAUUUGAAAACAGAUGAGGACCCAGGAGACCGGUGGAGCCAUUCCUGUCCCAGCACAGAAUUGUCUUUUGUUCCCUCCAACCACCCAGCCAUGCCUGUCUGGUGGCCAAGGCUCGUGAGCUCCCGUCCCAUUGGCUUGUCUGCACCCUGGGGCGGUUUCCCUCCCUGGAACAGACUGGGAACAGGAGGGUGGAGGAGCACACACACCCAGACCCACUGCUGCUGGUGGGCUCUGCUUACAAGGGGUCAUCUGGUUUCAAUCCACAAAAAUCUCAAAACUUUCCAUGGGAACUUCUGUGCUCAGGCCCUCCCGAGUGGGCUGGGCAAGGUCAACCUGAGCAGGCUGGCACUUCUGGGCCUCUACUGGGCAUCUCCAGUUUCCCCCAAUAGGCAGGACCAGACAUAAGGAACUCUGGAAGUCCCCAGCGACUGGUUCAAACCUGGUAAGAUCUUCAUAGUUAAAUAACAUGACUCCAGCAAAGGUUCUUCAGUUUCCCUCCACUUCAGCUUCUUCAUCGACAGUGUGGACAUAAACAGUGCUCUUGGGAUUAAAGGAACGAAAGUCGGUUGAGGGCUUAGCAUAGUGUCUGCAUACGGCGAGGCCAAUGCUCAGGGCUGAUGAAGGCAAACAUGCCAGUUCUCGACCCAAACCUGACCAAGUGUCACAGAAGCCCUGUUUGUCUCUAGCUGCAUAUGUAUCAGAAGAUGGCCUAGUCGGCCAUCACUGGGAAGAGAGGCUCCUUGGUCUUACA